AUGCGGUCGACCCCUGAUGACCUCAUCGUGGUUAUGACCAACAACAGGGAUCUCCCUAUAUUUUCAGUGCAGCGAGGGAAAGGUGUGUUGUUACCACAGCCGGAAACAGCUCCCGUGGACUUGGGCACCGUCGUCGACAUUGCCUUUCUUCGAGAUAAACUCUACGGACUCACCAUGGAUGGACUUGUGUCCCUCCCCAUCACCUUCGACGAUGUCCACGACAUACCCAUGGCUACUAGUAUUGAGCAGAUCAUAUGGAGCAACAUUGAUUAUGACGAUGUAGCAGGCAAUGAUGAGGACGAGGACGAGGACAACACAGACGAUGAGGGUGCCAAGCAAAACAUUGGUGAGGUUGAGAAUGAUAAUGACGAGCUUCGUCUUAGCGAAGAGGAUAAAGCCGAACGGCGUAAUCACAUCAAAUUGAUGUUAAAAGCUAGGGACGGCAAGGUAGGCCCCGGCUUCCGGUGUGAAGCCGACUAUAUGAUCUUUCGGUACUUGGUCGAGUCAUGUGGGAAGCUUUUCAUGGUGAUUCGAGAAGCGGAUAGCGCGAGAUUCACUUACAAGGUGGAGCUUCUUGUGCUCGAUGUCAAUGCACCUGCAUGGCUUCCGGUCUCCGGCGGCGGGCUAGGUGGCCAUACGCUUUUUAUCAGCAAACCUUCAGCAAGUCUGUUUUAG
rnacentral:rRNA from 1 species